rnacentral:rRNA from 1 species
CGGCAACAGCUCAAAUUUGAAAUCUGGCUUCCUUUGGGAGUCCGAGUUGUAAUUUGCAGAGGGCGCUUUGGCGUCGGCAGCGGUCUAAGUUCCUUGGAACAGGACGUCACAGAGGGUGAGAAUCCCGUACGUGGUCGCCUGCCUUCGCCGUGUAAAGCCCCUUCGACGAGUCGAGUUGUUUGGGAAUGCAGCUCUAAAUGGGAGGUAAAUUUCUUCUAAAGCUAAAUACUGGCCAGAGACCGAUAGCGCACAAGUAGAGUGAUCGAAAGAUGAAAAGCACUUUGGAAAGAGAGUCAAACAGCACGUGAAAUUGUUGAAAGGGAAGCGCUUGCCGCCAGACUUGCCCGUGGUGGUUCUCCUCCUCGGGCAGGCCAGCAUCAGUUUGGGCGAUCGGAUAAUGGCCUCUGUCAUGUAUCUUCCUUCGGGAUGACCUUAUAGGGGAGUCGUAGUACGGUCAGCCCGGACUGAGGUCCGCGCAUUUGCUAGGAUGCUGGC